rnacentral:rRNA from 1 species
ACGAACGCUGGCGGCGUGCUUAACACAUGCAAGUCGAACGGAAAGGCCUGCUUUCCCUUGUGGAUUGCGGGUGCUCGAGUGGCGAACGGGUGAGUAACACGUGAGUGAUCUGCCCCCAACUUGGGUAUAAGCCUGGGAAACUGGGUCUAAUUCCCGAUAGGACUGCAGGGUGGUGCCUGUGGUGGAAAACGAUUUUCUAGUGGUUGGGGAUGAGCUCGCGGCCUAUCAGCUUGUUGGUGGGGUAAUGGCCUACCAAGGCGGCGACGGGUAGCCGGCCUGAGAGGGUGGACGGCCACAUUGGGACUGAGAUGCGGCCCAGACUCCUACGGGAGGCAGCAGUGGGGAAUAUUGCACAAUGGGCGGAAGCCUUAUGCAGCGACGCCGCGUGGGGGAUGACGGCCUUCGGGUUGUAAACUCCUUUCGACCGCGAGGAAGCCACCUGGUUGGAAGGGUGGUGACGGUAGUGGUAGAAGAAGCACCGGCUAACUACGUG